GCUGGGUGUGGUGCUUGAUUUUCAUAGCCGGCAUGAUCUUAUAUCUACCCCAGGCCUGAAAAUAAUCCUGUUAUGAUAACUAGAUUGAAGAAGCCUCAUAUUCCUUCCGCAACUAAAGGGAUUACAACUAAUCAAGUUGAUUUAUCACAGAUUACUAUUUCCCUCCAAUUCGGAAUGUCAUAAAAUGAGAAAAGUUUUCUGUCUGAGAUCGAUUAACCAGAGAAUAGAAUACAGUAUACACAUUUGAUGAAGCAACGAAGCAACCAUAGAGUAAGUAUAUAUAGAGGAGAAACUGAGGUACUAAACUCUGAAACAGUAAUUUAGUUCCACCAACACCUUCCAGAGACCGCUCGCAUCGCUGAUUUUCUGUUUACCUCGAGAAUUAUUUACUUAACCUCAAAAAUUUUCAGUUGAUCCGUCGAACCUUAUUUUUGGUAAGAGAUUUAUUAUGUCGCAGUCAACUUUGAAAUCCAACAAAUAUUGUGUUCCUAACUGUGGAGAUAUGUAUAGUAAACGUCAUCGUUUUCGAAUGAAGAGAAGCAGCCAACAAUUUUCAAACUUUGGCUCGAAAAAGUUAGUUAUCCAUUGCUCAACUCUAAAACUCCUCAACAAAUUUGUAAGAAGUGAAGUUAGAUAGCCUUAAAGGAAUUUGACAACUGCUAUCCCUGAAUUAUUUCUUCCUGGAUCUUCAAAUCAAGGGGAAGAUGGAGAAGUUCAUGACACUGAAGGAAUACAUCUCCAAAGUGAUGUUGAGAGGGAAGUAUCAACAGAGACUUUGAAGAAUUUUAAGCACCCUCAGAAAACUUCAAUAAUAUAUAGAAAAAGAUAUCGAGGACAACAAUUAAUUGACACUAGAGGCUGUGGGCACUGCAGAGCUGAUGAUUUUUAUGGAUAAGCUGUUUGAUAGCCUGAAUAUGCAAUUGUGAAGGACACAUUAAAAAUUUGGCAUACUAGAAAUAUUUAAAAAAAUGUAAAAUUUUAAAUAGAUGAUUUUUUUAUAUGAA